GGUUAAGCGACUAAGCGUACACGGUGGAUGCCCUGGCAGUCAGAGGCGAUGAAGGGCGUGCUAAUCUGCGAUAAGCGCCGGUAAGGUGAUAUGAACCGUUAUAACCGGCGAUACCCGAAUGGGGAAACCCAGUGUGAUUCGUCACACUAUCAUUAACUGAAUCCAUAGGUUAAUGAGGCGAACCGGGGGAACUGAAACAUCUAAGUACCCCGAGGAAAAGAAAUCAACCGAGAUUCCCCCAGUAGCGGCGAGCGAACGGGGAGGAGCCCAGAGCCUGAAUCAGCAUGUGUGUUAGUGGAAGCGUCUGGAAAGGCGCGCGAUACAGGGUGACAGCCCCGUACACAAAAGCGCAUGUGCUGUGAGCUCGAUGAGUAGGGCGGGACACGUGGUAUCCUGUCUGAAUAUGGGGGGACCAUCCUCCAAGGCUAAAUACUCCUGACUGACCGAUAGUGAACCAGUACCGUGAGGGAAAGGCGAAAAGAACCCCGGCGAGGGGAGUGAAAAAGAACCUGAAACCGUGUACGUACAAGCAGUGGGAGCACAGGUUUACCUGUGUGACUGCGUACCUUUUGUAUAAUGGGUCAGCGACUUAUAUUCUGUAGCAAGGUUAACCGUAUAGGGGAGCCGGAGGGAAACCGAGUCUUAAUUGGGCGUUAAGUUGCAGGGUAUAGACCCGAAACCCGGUGAUCUAGCCAUGGGCAGGUUGAAGGUUGGGUAACACUAACUGGAGGACCGAACCGACUAAUGUUGAAAAAUUAGCGGAUGACCUGUGGCUGGGGGUGAAAGGCCAAUCAAACCGGGAGAUAGCUGGUUCUCCCCGAAAGCUAUUUAGGUAGCGCCUCGUGAAUUCAUCUCCGGGGGUAGAGCACUGUUUCGGCUAGGGGGCCAUCCCGGCUUACCAACCCGAUGCAAACUGCGAAUACCGGAGAAUGUUAUCACGGGAGACACACGGCGGGUGCUAACGUCCGUCGUGAAGAGGGAAACAACCCAGACCGCCAGCUAAGGUCCCAAAGUCAUGGUUAAGUGGGAAACGAUGUGGGAAGGCCCAGACAGCCAGGAUGUUGGCUUAGAAGCAGCCAUCAUUUAAAGAAAGCGUAAUAGCUCACUGGUCGAGUCGGCCUGCGCGGAAGAUGUAACGGGGCUAAACCAUGCACCGAAGCUGCGGCAGCGAACGUAUCACCCAAGACAACUUUACGGAGUUGACGAUUGACGGAGCGAAGCGACGUCAAAGCGUUCAUUAAAGUCGAGUUGGCUUAGGGAUACGUUCGUUGGGUAGGGGAGCGUUCUGUAAGCCUGUGAAGGUGUGUCGUGAGGCAUGCUGGAGGUAUCAGAAGUGCGAAUGCUGACAUAAGUAACGAUAAAGCGGGUGAAAAGCCCGCUCGCCGGAAGACCAAGGGUUCCUGUCCAACGUUAAUCGGGGCAGGGUGAGUCGACCCCUAAGGCGAGGCCGAAAGGCGUAGUCGAUGGGAAACGGGUUAAUAUUCCCGUACUUGGUGUUACUGCGAAGGGGGGACGGAGAAGGCUAUGUUGGCCGGGCGACGGUUGUCCCGGUUUAAGCGUGUAGGUGUGUGUUCCAGGUAAAUCCGGUUCACUUUAACACUGAGGCGUGACGACGAGGCACUACGGUGCUGAAGCAACAAAUGCCCUGCUUCCAGGAAAAGCCUCUAAGCAUCAGGUAACACGAAAUCGUACCCCAAACCGACACAGGUGGUCAGGUAGAGAAUACCAAGGCGCUUGAGAGAACUCGGGUGAAGGAACUAGGCAAAAUGGUGCCGUAACUUCGGGAGAAGGCACGCUGACACGUAGGUGAAGUGAUUUACUCACGGAGCUGAAGUCAGUCGAAGAUACCAGCUGGCUGCAACUGUUUAUUAAAAACACAGCACUGUGCAAACACGAAAGUGGACGUAUACGGUGUGACGCCUGCCCGGUGCCGGAAGGUUAAUUGAUGGGGUCAGCGCAAGCGAAGCUCCUGAUCGAAGCCCCGGUAAACGGCGGCCGUAACUAUAACGGUCCUAAGGUAGCGAAAUUCCUUGUCGGGUAAGUUCCGACCUGCACGAAUGGCGUAAUGAUGGCCAGGCUGUCUCCACCCGAGACUCAGUGAAAUUGAACUCGCUGUGAAGAUGCAGUGUACCCGCGGCAAGACGGAAAGACCCCGUGAACCUUUACUAUAGCUUGACACUGAACAUUGAGCCUUGAUGUGUAGGAUAGGUGGGAGGCUUUGAAGUGUGGACGCCAGUCUGCAUGGAGCCGACCUUGAAAUACCACCCUUUAAUGUUUGAUGUUCUAACGUGGACCCGUAAUCCGGGUUGCGGACAGUGUCUGGUGGGUAGUUUGACUGGGGCGGUCUCCUCCUAAAGAGUAACGGAGGAGCACGAAGGUUGGCUAAUCCUGGUCGGACAUCAGGAGGUUAGUGCAAUGGCAUAAGCCAGCUUGACUGCGAGCGUGACGGCGCGAGCAGGUGCGAAAGCAGGUCAUAGUGAUCCGGUGGUUCUGAAUGGAAGGGCCAUCGCUCAACGGAUAAAAGGUACUCCGGGGAUAACAGGCUGAUACCGCCCAAGAGUUCAUAUCGACGGCGGUGUUUGGCACCUCGAUGUCGGCUCAUCACAUCCUGGGGCUGAAGUAGGUCCCAAGGGUAUGGCUGUUCGCCAUUUAAAGUGGUACGCGAGCUGGGUUUAGAACGUCGUGAGACAGUUCGGUCCCUAUCUGCCGUGGGCGCUGGAGAACUGAGGGGGGCUGCUCCUAGUACGAGAGGACCGGAGUGGACGCAUCACUGGUGUUCGGGUUGUCAUGCCAAUGGCACUGCCCGGUAGCUAAAUGCGGAAGAGAUAAGUGCUGAAAGCAUCUAAGCACGAAACUUGCCCCGAGAUGAGUUCUCCCUGAGACUUAGAGUCUCCUGAAGGAACGUUGAAGACGACGACGUUGAUAGGCCGGGUGUGUAAGCGCAGCGAUGCGUUGAGCUAACCGGUACUAAUGAACCGUGAGGCUUAACCUU
rnacentral:rRNA from 1 species